rnacentral:rRNA from 1 species
AACGAACGAUGGCGGCAUGCCUAACACAUGCAAGUCGAACGAGACCUUCGGGUCUAGUGGCGCACGGGUGCGUAACGCGUGGGAACCUGCCCUUAGGUUCGGAAUAACUCCCCGAAAGGGGUGCUAAUACCGGAUAAUGUCUUCGGACCAAAGAUUUAUCGCCUUUGGAUGGGCCCGCGUUGGAUUAGCUAGUUGGUAGGGUAAAAGCCUACCAAGGCGACGAUCCAUAGCUGGUCUGAGAGGAUGAUCAGCCACACUGGGACUGAGACACGGCCCAGACUCCUACGGGAGGCAGCAGUGGGGAAUAUUGGACAAUGGGCGAAAGCCUGAUCCAGCAAUGCCGCGUGAGUGAUGAAGGCCUUAGGGUUGUAAAGCUCUUUUACCCGGGAUGAUAAUGACAGUACCGGGAGAAUAAGCUCCGGCUAACUCCAUG